GUUUACAUUACCUGCGAGAGGAGGCCCGCCAACAGCUGCUAUCCCAGCAAAGAAGGAAGCAAAGCCCAAAUAGCUGUGGAGUUUUUGCACGCCGACCAGGUCGACCUGUUGGUGUAAACGCAGCACAGGGAGCACCAGAGCCAGGAAUCCACCGCAGAAGAUGGCGAAGGCCACAGCGUAGGUCAUGAGCAGAGGGAAGGUGGUGGCCAGGGGGCAGAGCAGGUUGGUGACACCGCAGAGCACCAGGUAAGCUGCAUGGUAAUGGUACUUCUUGGUCCAGUUCUGGUCUGCAAUCCAGCCUGACAGCAGCUGGCUGCCCGUCUCGGUGAUGCCUGCAGGAAGAGCUCACUGAGCCUCAGGGAAAGGUUUCUUACAUAGAUAUCGAUCUUUUGCCCAACUUUUGGUGCUUAUUUCCACAUUUUCGGAUGCGUUUGUUAAAAGAUCAGAGCAGUGGGGGCUGUCAGCUCCCAAUUAGGGGCGUCAGAUUAAUUGCUGUGCGCUCCUCCUCGAGUCCUUCACAACAUUACCUCAAUUCUACGCACUGCACAGCGCUGUGGAAGGAAGAUUUAUUUUUAUACAAUAAAAUGUUUUAUGAUGA